AACGAACGCUGGCGGCAUGCCUAACACAUGCAAGUCGAACGAGACCUUCGGGUCUAGUGGCGCACGGGUGCGUAACGCGUGGGAACCUGCCCUUAGGUUCGGAAUAACUCCCCGAAAGGGGUGCUAAUACCGGAUAAUGUCUUCGGACCAAAGAUUUAUCGCCUUUGGAUGGGCCCGCGUUGGAUUAGCUAGUUGGUAGGGUAAAAGCCUACCAAGGCGACGAUCCAUAGCUGGUCUGAGAGGAUGAUCAGCCACACUGGGACUGAGACACGGCCCAGACUCCUACGGGAGGCAGCAGUGGGGAAUAUUGGACAAUGGGCGAAAGCCUGAUCCAGCAAUGCCGCGUGAGUGAUGAAGGCCUUAGGGCUGUAAAGCUCUUUUACCCGGGAUGAUAAUGACAGUACCGGGAGAAUAAGCUCCAGCUAACUCCGUG
rnacentral:rRNA from 1 species